UCUGAGUGGUAGAGUACAGAACUGGCAAUUAAGGGUAGGCCAUUCACCCCACACAGGUUACUUGAGGAGGGGACUGACUUACUACACACAUCUGAUCCAUCUACCAUAGGAUUCGCUCACUGCACACACGAUGACACAGAUAUAAGAAACGGGAGGGAUUUAACAGCUUACCUGAAAGAACAAUCAUCUGAUCCUGCUGCAAGAUCCUGCUUCCUGUUGUGCGGUACCACCCUGAGGAGAAAAGAACAUCAGUGAAUCAAGCUGCAAGAGAUGAAUUGGACCUACAGCUGCAAAAUCAUUUCAGUUCUGUCUGCUGUCCAUGCUCAUUAUUUGCCAAAACAUCCACCUUUCGGGUUGAAAUUGUCCAAGCUUGAUUUCUGUACAAAGGUGUACAUUUAACAAUGGAUGCAUUGCACAUAGAAGAAAAGAAAAGAACUCAAAACUCCAGUGUUAAUGUAACAUUAAGACUACAAGGUCAAGAGCUCUGGAAAUUAAAAAUGUUUUUUUCCAGCAACAUCAGCAUAGCCACACUACACGAUGUUCUUAUCACCCUUUCCCUCGAUAAAAUGUAAAAAAUUAACAUAUUGGUUAUUAAUGUAUAUAAUAACCUAUAAAUAUUU